AGAAAACUUCAGGGAUAGGUGAGAUUCCUAUACUGGCGGUAUAGCCCGCGAGCUUUUAGUAAAGCAGAUUCGGUUAAACUCCGGAGCCAACAGUAAAGUCUGGAAGGAAGAAGGGAAGA
rnacentral:ncRNA from 1 species